UUUUUUUUUAUUUACAUGUCCCACUGUACUAUGAUGCUCAGCACAACAAUUUAGAUUUCCCUUAUUCCAGUAUAUUUCUGUUUUGUUCCAUAUUUUCUCCUGUCCUUGAAAACCUUCUUAUGAGAGCCUAUUGGAUUCGGAGAAAGGGGUGGUGUCCUGGCUCUGUGCCCAUCAGCAAGUUGCUGAAAUUCUCUGGGCUUGUUGCUUUGUGGAGGAUAUUGGCAGAUGUGAUGUCUGAGUUAUUUUUUUCAGAAGACUGUCUGUCUUGCUACUUGGAAAAAAAGAGCAUGGUUAUGUAGCAUGUUUUCACAAUACUUCUUUUUUUAAAUUUUUUUUUUUAAUUUUAUUUUUAGGGCCGCACCCGCAUAUGGAAGUUCCCAGGCUAGGGGUCGAAUUGGAGCCUUAGCUGCUAGCCUACACCAGAGCCACAGCAGUGUGGGAUCCAAGCUGCGUCUGCGACCUACACCACAGCUCACAGAAACGGCAGAUCCUUAACCCACUGAGCGAGGCCAGGGAUCAAACCUUCGUCCUUAUAGAUGCUAGUCGGAUUCAUUUCUGCUGAAACAACGGGAACUCCCUUUUCACAAUACUUCUGAUAUCUUCAAGUUUCAUUUUGAGCUUUUACUUUUUAAAAUUUUUUUAAUGAUUUUUAUUUUUUCCAUUAUAGUUGGUUUACCAGGUUGAGCUUUUAAAACUGAAGUCCUGGAGUUCCCAUCUUGGCUCAUUGGGUUACGAACCCGACUAGUAUCCGUGAGUGGAUUAAGGACCCAGUGUUGCUGUGGCUGUGGUGCAGGCUAGCAACUGCAGCUCUAAUUCGACCCCUAGCUUGGGAACUUCCAUAUGCCGUGGGUUUGGCCCUAAAAAGGAAAAAAAAAGAAACCUUCAGGAGACCUGUACUUAGAAAAUGUUAUAUGAAAAAGUAUAUAUAGUAGAAUAUUAUAAGGUACAAGAAGAAAGCAUUGCCUUUUCCCGUAGACCAAAAAUUUCCUUGCACUAAUUAACACCUGCUUUAUUUAAAGAUUUGUGUAAUGCAGUACAAGCCACAGUUUAUAUGAAUUGUCUCCUUCUAGAUGAGGAAGGCCUAAAAUCUUUUGUUUAUGGACUUUCCAACUCAUCUGUAUUUAUUUCUCAGCAGCACAACUCCAGAAUACAGGCUCAUUAUCUCAGAGCCUGGCAGAUAAAGUGAAAUAUCUAAAAGCAAACAAUGUUUACAGUUGCUCUGAUUCAGCACAAUUUAGACUCUCUUUUGGCAAAGAAAACUAAAUGAUGCUCUGCUCCUUCUCAGCCUCGGUCAAUACUGAGGUCUGAGCUCCUUGUCCAAAUGACCACCCUUGCACAGGCUGCAGCCUCUGGGGACGCCAGGGCCCUGCCUUUAGGUCACCUCCCCACAACACGCACGUCUGCUGAAUGAGGACUGAUUUGGACUGUUGUCAUUUUAAUUUGAAACAAAAUGAAGAAAUAAAAAUUUAGAGAGUUAAAAAGAAAGGAACUUCUGACCAUCACAAAGAGACAAAUGUUGUAGGAUUCCACAUGUAUGAAGGCCCUAGAGCAGUCAAAUCCACAGAGGCAGUAAGGAGGAGGGUGGGCGCUGGGGCUGCGGGAGGUGGGAGCCAGUGGUUAAUGGGGACAGAGCUUCAGUUUGGGCUAAUGAGAAAGUUCUGGAGAGGAAUGGUGGUGAUGCACAGCAGUGUGAAUGAACUUAAUGCCACUGAACUGGACACCUAAAAAUGGUUGAGAAGGUAAAUUGUAUGUUAGAUAUAUUUUACCACAAUAAAAAAAUUCCAAAAGGGAGAAGUUCCCAUUGUGGCUCAGCGGAAAUGAACCUGACUAGUAUCCAUGAGGACAUGGGUUUGAUCCCUGGCCUCGAUCAGCGGGUUAAGGAUCUGGCAUUGCCGUGAGUUGUGGUAUAAGCUGGCAGCUACAGCUCCAAUUUGACCCCUCGCCUGGGAACUUCCAUAUGCUGCAGGUGCGGCCCUAAAAAGCCAAAAGAAAAAAAAAAUUCAAAAAGGGAAUUUAUCUGAAAGAGGUGGAGAUUUGGUCCCUUUUAGAAGAUUGAUCCUUCCAGAUUAAAUUUAUAGUUGGGCUCAGUUCAGAGGCUUCAGAUAAAGAGCUGUCAAUACCCAGGAACACAGCUCUGCCCUGUAACACUCGGGGGCCAGAUGACCUCUGCCUACGCCCAGACCAUAUGGGAUUAAACUAGAAUUGAGUAACAGAAAGAGAUCUGGGGUGGGGAAGGGAGUUAGGGAUUAGCAGAGGCAAACUAGUACAUAUAGGAUGGAUAAACAACUAGGUCCUACUGUAUAGCAUAGGCAGCUAUAUCCAAUCUUCUGCGAUAAACCAUAACAGAAAAAAAUAUGUGUGAAAUGUAUAUACAUAUUACUGAGCCACUUUGCUGUACAGCAGAAAUUAACACAGCAUUGUAAAUCAACUAUACUUCUAUAACAUUUAAAACAAGAAAGAGAUCUGGGAGUUCCCGUCAUGGCGCAGCGGAAACGAAUCCAACUAGGAACCAUGAGGUUGUUGGUUCGACCCCUGGCUUUGCUCGGUGGAUUAAGGAUCCGGCAUUGCUGUAAGCUGUGGUGUAGGUCGCAGACAUUGUUUGGAUCUGGCGUUGCUAUGUCUCUGGCGUAGGCCGGCAGCUACAGCUCCGAUUCGACCCCUAGCCUGGGAACCUUCACACACCAUGGGCGUGUCCCUAAAAAGACCAAAAGACAAAAAAGAAAGAAAGAGAUCUGGAAAGCCCUCCAAAUGCUUAGAGAUUAAACAACACACUUCUAUAUAAAAGGUGGGCUAAAAAGAAAAGUCUCAAAGAACUUUUAAAAUAUUUUCUGGAGUUCCUGUUGUGGCACAGUGGAAAUGAAUCCGACUAGGAACCAUGAGGUUUCGGGUUCGAUCCCUGGUCUGGCUCAAUGGGUUGAGGAUCCGGUAUUGCCAUGAGCUGUGGUGUAGGUUGAAGAUGCAGCUCGAAUCUGGGGUUGCUGUGGCUCUGGCAUAGGCCUGCAGCUGUAGCUCCUAUUAGACCCCUAGCCUGGGACUAUCUAUAUGCCGCUGAUGUGGCCCUAAAAAAAG
rnacentral:lncRNA from 1 species